rnacentral:rRNA from 1 species
GCAAGUCGAGGGGUAACAUAGUAGCUUGCUACUGAUGACGACCGGCGCACGGGUGCGUAACGCGUAUGCAACCUACCUUAUACAGGGGAAUAGCCCAGAGAAAUUUGGAUUAAUGCCCCAUAACAUUGGAUCUGGCAUCAGAACCAAUUAAAAACUCCGGUGGUAUAAGAUGGGCAUGCGUGACAUUAGUUAGUUGGUAAGGUAACGGCUUACCAAGACUUUGAUGUCUAGGGGUUCUGAGAGGAUGAUC